CCAGACUUGGCGGGCGGCCUCCGUGUGCCAAAAAUAGGCCACGGGCACAGCCGCGCCCAAAAAUCAGCCCCCGAAGGUCGGGGUCACAAGACCCCCCAGCGGAAAAAUGGCCAAAAAACGGGUGGGCUAUAGCCUUGGUGGGGGGCGUGGGCGAAGUUCAUCCGCGGGACUCGGAAUGGCACCAGACAUGGCGGGCGGCCUCCGUGUGCCAAAAAUAGGCCACGGGCACAGCCGCGCCCAAAAAUCAGCCCCCGAAGGUCGGGGUCCCAAGACCCCCCAGCGGAAAAAAGGCCAAAAAACGCGUGGGCUAUAGCCUUGGUGGGGGGCGUGGGCGAAGUUCGUCCGCGGGACUCGGAAUGGCACCAUACUUGGCGGGCGGCCUCCGUGUGCGAAAAAUAGGCCACGGGCACAGCCGCGCCCAAAAAUCAGCCCCCGAAGGUCGGGGUCCCAAGACCCCCCAGCGGAAAAAUGGCCAAGAAACGCGUGGGCUAUAGCCUUGGUGGGGGGCGUGGGCGAAGUUCGUCCGCGGGACUCGGAAUGGUACCAUACUUGGCGGGCGGCCUCCGUGUGCCAAAAAUAGGCCACGGGCACAGCCGCGCCCAAAAAUCAGCCCCCGAAGGUCGGGGUCACAAGACCCCCCAGCGGAAAAAUGGCCAAAAAACGGGUGGGCUAUAGCCUUGGUGGGGGGCGUGGGCGAAGUUCGUCCGCGGGACUCGGAAGGGCACCAUACUUGGCGGGCGGCCUCCGUGUGCCAAAAAUAGGCCACGGGCACGGCCGCGCCCAAAAAUCAGCCCCCGAAGGUCGGGGUCACAAGACCCCCCAGCGGAAAAAUGGCCAAAAAACGGGUGGGCUAUAGCCUUGGUGGGGGGCGUGGGCGAAGUUCGUCCGCGGGACUCGGAAUGGCACCAGACUUGGCGGGCGGCCUCCGUGUGCCAAAAAUAGGCCACGGGCACAGCCGCGCCCAAAAAUCAGCCCCCGAAGGUCGGGAUCCCAAGACCCCCCAGCGGAAAAAAGGCCAAAAAACGCGUGGGCUAUAGCCUUGGUGGGGGGCGUGGGCGAAGUUCGUCCGCGGGACUCGGAAUGGCACCAUACUUGGCGGGCGGCCUCCGUGUGCGAAAAAUAGGCCACGGGCACAGCCGCGCCCAAAAAUCAGCCCCCGAAGGUCGGGGUCCCAAGACCCCCCAGCGGAAAAAUGGCCAAGAAACGCGUGGGCUAUAGCCUUGGUGGGGGGCGUGGGCGAAGUUCGUCCGCGGGACUCGGAAUGGCACCAUACUUGGCGGGCGGCCUCCGUGUGCG
rnacentral:lncRNA from 1 species